AUGCCUACGUUUGCUUUGACUGUCCUUCGAGUGCCGAAGAAGUUUCUAAAGGAGAUUGACAAGUGCAGGCGCAGAUUUUUGUGGAAGCAAGAUGAGGAGAUCACAGGUGGAAGCUGCAAGAUUAAUUGGACAGUAGUAUGCGCUCCCACAUCGCUCGGAGGACUAGGCAUCCUCGACCUUGAGCGGUUCAGCCGAGCCCUCAGACUGCGGUGGCUAUGGACCGACCCGGAGCGACCAUGGGUCGGUACAGAGCCACCGUGCAGCAACAUUGAUAAAAGCCUUUUCAGGGCUGUGACAACGGUCACCAUCGGUGACGGCGCAACGGCUCUCUUCUGGCACUCCUCUUGGAUCGGGACGCAAAACCUAGCCGCCUCUUACCCCCUCCUCUACUCGCACUCUAGGCGGAAAAACAGGACGGUGCACGAGGCGCUCUCAGGAGAAACAUGGAUAAAAGACCUGCGACACGGGAACCUAUAG
rnacentral:rRNA from 1 species